UGGGGAAUAUUGGACAAUGGGCGAAAGCCUGAUCCAGCCAUGCCGCGUGUGUGAAGAAGGUCUUCGGAUUGUAAAGCACUUUAAGUUGGGAGGAAGGGCAUUAACCUAAUACGUUAGUGUUUUGACGUUACCGACAGAAUAAGCACCGGCUAACUCUGUGCCAGCAGCCGCGGGAAUACAGAGGGUGCAAGCGUUAAUCGGAAUUACUGGGCGUAAAGCGCGCGUAGGUGGUUUGUUAAGUUGGAUGUGAAAUCCCCGGGCUCAACCUGGGAACUGCAUUCAAAACUGACUGGCUAGAGUAUGGUAGAGGGUAGUGGAAUUUCCUGUGUAGCGGUGAAAUGCGUAAAUAUAGGAAGGAACACCAGUGGCGAAGGCGACCACCUGGACUAAUACUGACACUGAGGUGCGAAAGCGUGGGGAGCAAACA
rnacentral:rRNA from 1 species